GUCACUGUCGGCCUUGCAAGGCCACCUGGAGGCCUGUCUGUUAGCCAGUGGUGGAGGAGCAAGGCUUCAGGAAGGGCCAGCCACAUGCCAUCUUCCCUGCGAUCAGGCAAAAAAGUGGAAUUAUGAAAUUUGUGAGGUGGAAGAAAAUAAUUGGGACGUCUACCUUCUUUCUCCAGGGUCUGGCUUUCCCAAAAACGUUAUAUCACAAAUGUUUUACUUCAUUGUUGAAAUCGCUGCCUCCUGUCCCACGUGUGUUUGUCGGGGUGUCACGCCCUUGUCUGCUUUCCUUCUCAUCCGUCCUGCAAGUCCUCAUGCCCUGGCCUCUUUUUUCCCUAAAUUCAGCCUUCUGGUGACACUUCAUGUUUGUCUCUUGUAAACAACAAAGCUGGAUUUCACUUUUUUUUUCUUUUAUUCAAUCAAAAGUCGGUGCAAAACAUGCCAGGGUCAUCACAUCUGAAAGCCAAGGGAGUGGUGUGUAGAUACCCAUUGGUAAUGAGUAGAGGGCUGCCCUGGGUGGAGGUGGCGGGUAAUUCCCAGCACUUCCAGAUGACCACACAUGUGGGCAAAGUGGCCUUCCACACUUAGGAUGGGGAAACCUUCAGGUACAGAUGCAGGCCCUGGCAGGUGUACUUCACCUGAGCACAGUGAAAAGUGCAAGCACGAUUUGUUGAGCACUGGCAGCCUCCAGCACACAGCUGUCCUCUAAACUCAGUGCAGACAGUCCUCCCUGCCUCUAGAGGUCAUGCCUCCAUUUCCCCAGGAGGAGCUGUAUCCAUGGGGAUGGAUUUCUCUCUCAGGAGUUUUCUGCUGGCUUUUAUCACUUUAUUCCUUGCAUGAUAGGUCAGUGGCUACAUGACUUGUGUCUUCCUGAGAGACUGUAAGGCACUCAAGAGCAACGGGUACAUCUGUAUUGUGCCUUGCUCACAGUCAAGCCUCAAAAGAUUUUUUAAAUACAAGACCCCGGAUAUGUUAUUUUAUACCACAUAUGUUAUUAAAGCAAUGAAGAGGAAAAAAAUCACUGACCUUUUACUAUGUACCAAAUGGGAAAAUAGUAUUUGCUAUUGAGAAAUAGGUAGUAUUAAUAUCUCCAUUUUAUAGUUAAGGAAAUUGAGGCAGAGAGAAGAUGAGUGGUGAAUUAGAUGAAUGAAAUCUUACACUCUCACUCUUAAUCACUAGGCUUCCCUGCCUCCCAUUAGACAUGAAUAGGAACUGCAAUUGAAAAAGUGUCAACCAGCAAAGAGUGGGGAGAUGAGUGGGCCUCUCAGCCAGUUUCAGAUAGGAAAAGCAGAGUGUUAAGCAAUAUGGGUAUUUUUAAUAAUAUGUUCAAACAAACUUACUUGGGCUUGUGUAUGUACCCCCCAAACACACACACACACACACACACACACACACGCACACACACACUGGGGUAGAACUACUCAAAAGCCCUCUGAUCAGAAAGAUUGUGCAUCCUGAGACCUGCCUUGCCUGCUCUGAGGGCAGAUCCCAGGGAACGCACCCUCACAGUCCCCCCACGUGGCUAUCCCCAGUCUGCCUUGGUGAGAGCAAUGUGUUUGAAUGCAGUAGGAGAGGAAGGGAAGUGGGAAUGUGCAAAUCGCCCCAUGGUCCCGACCUGCUCAGAGGCUACUUCCCAACUGGAACUCUUGCACACGGUAAUAGAAAUGUAAACGGUAUAACUUCUUUAAAAACAGAUGGUUUCUUUCUUAGAAAGUUAAACAUACACUUAACGUACAACCUGACAAUUCUGCUCUUAGAUAUUUAUUUAAGGGAAUGAAGCCAUGAUCUACAUUGUCUUGGCCAUAGAUAUUCACAAGGUUUAUUUAUACAGCUUCGAUCUGGAAAGAACCCAGACAUUCAUCAUUAGGUAGCUGGGUGAAGACUGUGGGUCAUGCACAC
rnacentral:lncRNA from 1 species